UCCCUGGCAGUCUAGUGGUUAAGACUCUGUGCUUCUGAUGCAGGAGACCCAGGAUCGAUCCCUAAUCAGGGAG
rnacentral:tRNA from 1 species